GCCUGGAUAGUCUGGUGGUGAGAUGUUCGACCCACAAUCGUUCACACCGGGUUCGAGUCCCGGUUUGGGGU
rnacentral:tRNA from 1 species